UACAGAGGGGGCAAGCGUUGUUCGGAAUUACUGGGCGUAAAGGGCGCGUAGGCGGCCUUCUAAGUCGAACGUGAAAUCCCUGGGCUCAACCCAGGAACUGCGUCCGAUACUGGAAGGCUUGAAUCCGGGAGAGGGAUGCGGAAUUCCAGGUGUAGCGGUGAAAUGCGUAGAUAUCUGGAGGAACACCGGUGGCGAAGGCAGCCCCCUGGGUCAACACUGACGCUCAUGCACGAAAGCGUGGGGAGCAAACAGG
rnacentral:rRNA from 1 species